rnacentral:rRNA from 1 species
AUGAAAAUCGUCCAGUUUGUUGAAAUCCGGCACGCAUCGGUGUUGCCAGCACCGGGCAUGCGUAGACGAGGGACCUAUGCGAGCUGUACGCCAUGUCAGAGAAGUCAGAGGGGCCAGCAAAGAAGGACUCGACGACAGUUGUGGUGCCAAUCGACGUGGUGCCGAUGUCGCCUGCGGUUGUCGGAGUAG